GUGAAAGCCUUAGCUCCUCCCACCUUCUCGUCCGGGCGUGUGGGGACAGAGAGUGGCAGGGUUGUCGGGGGUGGGCGCCAAUUAAUGUCCCAGCCCUUGGAAUCGGGCCGAGUCUGAUUCGGAGGAUUUCCAGCGGCCAGCACAGAGUGGGAACGCGUAAAUGUGUGUGUCAUGAUCGAGGAUCGGUGUCCACUAAGUGUGUUUUCGCGGCCCCCCAGCCCUAGAAGGAAGGGCUCCGGCUGAGAUAAAUACAUAACUCCUUAGAGGCUGGCUAAAGAGAGUUUUGAAUUGCUAGUGACUUUUGAAGGUACAAAGACAAGGAGUGUCUGUGGUUCUGCCCUUCCUCUGCCACUGGAUCCUGAAGCCGGUCAAGUGCCACUGGACUUCAUUUACUGUCUUCUCUGCCUUCUGCUGGCCUUAGGGGAAAAAAAAAGUGAGGUCAUAUUUGAUGUCCUUUUCUUUGGCUAGAAAUCUGAACUGGUCUUUGGAAAUACAAGGUCUUAACAAGGAUGGUGUAUGCUUUGGACUUUGGCAUUUCCAUGAUGAGGUCUCAAAUCCUGAGUUCCAGCUGUGGCGCAAUGGGUUUGGUGGCCUCUUGGGAGUGCUGGGAUGCAGCUGUGGCUCAGAUCUGAUCCCUAGCCUGGGAACUCCCUAUGCCAUGGGGCAGCCAAAAAAAGUUAACAACGACAAAAAAAAUCCUCUCCAUGUCCGCAGUAGUACUUUCUUGACACCUAUUUUUUUGUUUUGUUUUGUUUUUUUAGGGCCACACCCUCAGCAUAUGGAGGUUCCCAGGCUAGGGGUCGAAUUGGAGCUGUAGCCGCCGACCUACACCACAGCCACAGCAACACCAGAUCUGAGUCAUGUCUGCGACCUACACUACAGCUCACGACAAUGCCAGAACCUUAACCCGUUGAACAAGGCCAGGGAUCGAACCUGCAUCCUCAUGGAUACUAGUCGGAUUCGUUUUUUGCUCAGCCACAACAGCAACUUCGACAUGUUCUAAUGUUCUGAGCAUCUGACCUUAACAACUGUAAUUAGAGAGGAAAUGGACCAACACUAUCUUUUUUUUCCCUAGUUUCUCUCCCUACUGGGCAGCAAUAUCAAAUUGACUAGCAAUACUGCUAGUUAAUUUCACACUAGGAUUAGCUCAAUGGGAGAACUUGGUCCUUUUCUUUUACAAAGGCUUUUUUCCAGGAGACCAUUUCUUUUAGGAACUAAAAAAAAAAGAAAAAGAAAAAAAAUCUCCUGGAAGAUUUUUACUUGAACAUAGACAACAUUAAAAAUGGCUAGCAAUCUGAGUUCUACAGCUCUGUCUUGAAUCACUGUGUGAUCAUGGCUAGUUAUUAACCCUCUGCAUUUAAAAUUAGUCACCCGUAAAACAAAAGUAUGCAGUGGAAUUUUUCUCAGCUAUAAAAAGAAUGAAAUAAUGCCAUUUGCAGCAACAUGGAUGGGUCUAGAGAUUAUCAUACUAAGUGAAGUCAAAGACAAACAUGAUAUUAUUCAUAUGUGGAAUCUAAAAAUGAGAUACAAAUGAACUUAUUUGCAGAACAAAUAGACUCAUAGAUUUUGAAAACAAAUUCAUGGUUACCAAAGGGGACAGGUGGGGGUGGAGGCAGGGAUGGAUUGAUUGGCAUAUGCACACUAUGGUAUGGAAUGAUUGCCAGACAAGGACCAACUACAUAGCACAGGGAACUCUACCCAAUAUUCUAUGAUAAUCUAUAUAGGAAAGAAUCUGAAAAAGAAUGGAUGUGUGUGUAUAUAUAUCUGAAUCACUUUGUUGUACAGCAGAAAUUGUCACAACAUUGGAAAUCAACUAUACUUCAAUAAAACUUUUAAAAAUGAAGAAAAAAAAGGAAAGUAGGAGUUCCUGUCAGGGCACAGCAGAAACGAAUCUGACAAGGAACCAUGAGGUUGUGGGUUUGAUCCCUGGCCUCACUCAGUGAGUUAAUGAUCCGGCAUUGCCGUGAGCUGUGGUGUAUGUAGGUCGCAGACGUGGCUUGGAUCUGGCAUUGCUGUGGCUGUGGUGUACGCCAGCGGCUACAGCUCUGAUUCGACCCCUAGCCUGGGAACCUCCAUAUGCUGAGGGUGUGGCCCUAAAAAGACAAAAAAAAAAAAAACAGGAAAGUAGAUGAUCUUUGGGGGGAUCCCGUUAAGUAUCAAAAUGUUUUUAUUCCAUGAAUGAAAUUAGUUAGUAGACUAAUCUUGUCCUUAUGGUCGUUUCAUUUUCUCUCUCUCUUGAUCUCUGUCUCUGAUCCAUCCAACCCACUUGAUCUUGGUAUCAACAUAGAUUGAAAUAGGAGGCCCAUGAAGAGGAUUUCGGAGAGGACCAUAUCGUUCUUCUUUAAUUGUUCUGUUUGUCACUACAUACCCACUCUCAACCCUGUGUCUGCUGAAGACUAGACACCACAUAAAUAUUACUUGGUCAGUGGAGUGAAUAAUGAAUGAUUAAGCUGGGUCUUUAUCCUCCAUUCCUAUCUUCACUCCAUCAUCACAUUCAAAUUCAGAAGUUAUUUGAGUUGUAUUUUAUUUAUGAUAAGAUCAGGAAGCCCAGAUCAGAGAAUAUCUCCAUGACUAUAAGUUCAGUCAGUUCUCCACGGCCACUUAAAUAUUUCUCCUGAAGGCCAGAAAGUCAGUACAACCAACUGAAUCAAAAAUCUCUGGACUUGAGGACCAGGUAUCAGUAUUUUUCAAAUACUCCUCAGGAGAUUCUAAUUUGUAGCCAGGGUUGAGAA
rnacentral:lncRNA from 9 species